UUCAUCUAUUUCUCUCCUUUACUUUUGUCCCAUUUGAUUAAUGGAUUAGUUGGAUAUGUAUCCAUUGUUUUUUUCACCUAUUGCCUCCUGCUGCUUUGGAGAAGUGGUCAUCAUGAAGGAAAGCAGGCCACAUCAGUUGUAAAAGCAGACUUCCCAUACAUCAAUGAGAAGACAACCUCUCAAGACACAGACACAAAUGUGGAACACACACACCCCCUCCUGCUGACCCUCGUCCACCCAGCUCUAACGCAGCCAGUCCAAUAUGGAGGUGAGUUAUGCCUUCAUAAAAUCCCUAUGGUAGGUAAUCUGUUAGGAGGCUGGAGCCAUACUUUUCUGAUCACACUCUCUCACAUACAAACUGACAAACACCAUCCUCUGCUGAUUGCCAAAGGCGAAGGUCAGGCCUUUGACAGAAUGAGGGCCAUUGUUGCGGAAAUAUCAGUGACAAGUGACAAGGAUGUCAACCUUCGGGGGAGUUAUGAGGCCAGGGUCAGCCAGGGAGUGUAUGGAUGAAGUUGCCCCUAGACACUGAAUACACCGAUAACUCAGUUUUGAGUUAUCCCAUCUAAUGGUUAAGGUUAGAGUUUGGAGACAGGGAUCUCGUCCUAGAUCUGUGCCUAAGGGCAAGUUCAACCUAGAGCUUCAGGGGAUUCAGAGUUACUAAAGGUAACCACCAGAGGGAGACACAGAUGUAUUUACUGUACAGAUAUUUCAGAUGCUCUUAAUCAGAUUUUUCUUUCUCUGUCAAUUUUAUUUCUUACUUCCUUGCUUCAUCUUUUCCUCUCCCCUUCUCCUUUUUCUCCUUUAGUCCAAUGCUCUUUUCUCUCUGAAUCUCUCCCCUCUUUUAUCACCAUCUGUCUAUCUUCAUCUCCCAUCACAAUGUCUCCUCUCUCUUUAUCUAUUUUUAUAUCUGUAUUGUAUGUUGGCCAUCCUAUGCCUUACCUUGGGCAGGAACACAUCUUUUUAGAUUCUGACACACACACACACACACACACACACACACACACACACACACACACACACACACACACACACAAAGCUCAUGCCUCCUAGUGGUAGUGGGGAUUCAAGUGUGUCUAAGCCCAUUGGGAAGGCGCUGGUAAUUCUCCAUGUCAGAUUUGGGGGAUUUUCAGAGCAUGAACCUAUACCAGGUCCACUACUCUGUUAGUUUGUUUGUGUAGUUACUGUUGUGUUGUAGUACUCUCAUAUACACAAAGGUAAACAGAACCCCACUAACAUACACAUACACACACACACACACACCUUCCCCACUCCUCUCCAUUCUCCCCUUCCAACCUUCUUCACCCCCUUCCCUACCCUACAUUCCCUCCUCAUUCCUGUACAGGGUCCUGUCAUGGUGCAGAUUCUGGUCAGUGUCCCUGAUGACACAACAGAGCGCACACACACACACACAUCAGACAGUAUGUCCUACUGCCUGUCAGCUGUCACGGUGAGUGAAUGAGGACCCAAAAGCGAAUUAACUUAACAGAGCUUCUUUAAUAACCAAACAUAGGUAGGUUCAGACAGACCGGCAGAUUCCGACAGGACAGGACAAGGUUACAGCAAACAUGACGAUAGUCUGGUUCAGGCAUGAAACACAACAAACAAGAAUCCGACAAAGACAGGAGCAGAAACAGAGAGAGAUAUAGGGACCUAAUCAGAGGGAAAAAGGGAACAGGUGGGAAAAGGGGUGGAUGAGGUAGUUAGAGGAGACAAGGAACAGCUGGGGGAAAGCGGGGGAGAAAAGGUAACCUAAUACGACCAGCAGAGGGAGACAGGGUGAAAGGAAAGGACAGAAAGACACAACAUGACAAUACAUGACAGUACCCCCCCACUCACCGAGCGCCUCCUGGCGCACUCGAGGAGGAAACCUGGCGGCAACGGAGGAAAUCCUCGAUCAGCGCACGGUCCAGCACGUCNNNNNNNNNNAAACCCAAUAGAGUGAAAAGAAAUUUCAUUCGCGCUCACAAACACUCUGCUUGACGACUCACUCCCAGCAUGCACUCCGACGAGAGAGAGAGAGAGAGAGAGAGAGAGAGAGAGAGAGAGAGAGAGAGAGAGAGAGAGAGAGAGAGAGAGCGUUUCUAGCCUGUUUUAGUCUUCUUCCUUCCUUAUGUCUCUCGACAGUGCCUUCAGAAAGUAUUCACACCUCUUGACCUUUUCUACCUUUGUUAUGUUACAAAUUGGGAUUCAAAUGGAUUUAAUCAUACUUUUUUUCAACAAAAUACUCUGUAAUGUCAAAGUGGAAGAAACAUUUUAACACUUUAAAAAAAACCUGACUAUGUCUUGAUUAGAAGUAUUCAACCCCCUGAGUCAAUACAAUACAAUCACCUUUGGCAGUUACUACAGUUGUGAGUCUUUUGGGGGUAAGUCUCAAAAUAUUGGAUUGUACAAUAUUUUCCCAUUAUUCUUUUUUUUUUUUUUUUAACUCUUCAAGUUGGUUGUUGAUCAUUGCUAGACACCCAUUUUCAGGUCUUGCCAUAGAUUUUCAAGCAGAUUUAAGUCAAAACUGUAACUAGUCCACUCAGGAAAUUGUUAUCUUGGUAAGCAAGUCCAGUGUAUAUUUGGCCUUGAGUUUUAGGUUGUUGUCCUGCUGAAAGGUGAAAUUGUCUCCCAGUGUCUGGUGGAAAGCAGACUGAACUAGGUUUACCUCUAGGAUUGUGCCUGUGCUUAGCUCUAUUCCGUUUCUUUUUAUCCUAAAAAGCUCCUUAGUCCUUGCCGAUGACAAACAUAUCCAUAACAUGAUGCUGCCACCACCUCGCUUGAAAAUAUGAAGAGUGGUACUCAGUGAUGUAUUGUGUUGGAUUUGCCACAAACAUAAUGCUUUGUAUUCAGGACAAAAAGUGAAUUUCUUUGCCAUAUUUUUUGCAGUAUUAUUUUAGCACCUUAUUGCAAACAGGAUGCAGGGUUGUUUUUUGUUUUUUUUCAGCACAGGCUUCCUUCCUUUCACUCUGUAAAUUAGCUUAGUAUAGUGGAGUAACUACAAUGUCGUAGAUCCAUCCUUAGUUUUCUCCUAUCACAACCUAUAAUGAUUGUCCUCCUGACGAAGAGGAGUAGUAAGGAAGGAUCAGAGGACCAACGCGCAGCGUUGUCAGUGUUCAUCUUGUUUAUUUGCCUGAACACUAAAAUACAAAAUAACAACGUGAAUAAACGAAACAAACGAAACAGUCCAGUGUGGAACAAACACUGACACGGAAAAUAAUCACCCACAACUCAAAAGUGAAACCAGACUACCUAAAUAUGGUUUUCAUUCAGGGACAAUGAUUGACAGCUGCCUCUGAUUGAGAACCAUACCAGGCCUAACACAGAAAUCCCAAAUUAUAGAAAAAGGAACAUAGACUGCCCACCCCAACUCACGCCCUGACCAUACUAAAACAAAGACAAAACAAAGGGACUAAAUUCAGAACGUGACACAACCAAACUUGUUUUAGUCACCAUUGGCCUCGUGGUGAAAUCCCUGAGCGGUUUCCUUUCUCUCUGGCAACUGAGUUAGGAAGGAUGCCUGUAUCUUUGUAGUGACUGGGAGUAAUAAUACAAAUUAAUGACAUCACCAUGCUCAAAUGGAUAUUCAGUGUCUGCUUGUUUUAUUUUUACCCAUCUACCAAUAGGUGUCCUUCUGUGUGUGGCAAUGGAAAACCUCCCUAGUCUUUGUGGUUGAAUCUGUGUUUGAAAUUCACUGCCCGACUGUGGGACCUUACAUAAAAUUGUAUGUGUGGGGUACAGAAUCAUGUUUAACACAAUUAUUGCACAUAGAGUGAGUCCAUGAAACUUAUUAUGUGACUUGUUAAGCACAUUUUGGCUUGUCAUAACAAAGAGGUUGAAUACUCAGAGAAAAAAAAUCCACUUUGACAUCGUGGGGAGAUCAGUGACACAAAAUCUAAAUUGAAUCCAUUUUAAAUUCAGGCUGUAACAAAACAAAAUACGGAAAAAGUUGAGGGGUGGGAAUACUUUCUGAAGUACUUUUCUACACUAUAUAUACAAAAGUAUGUGGACACCCCUUCAAAUUAGAAGAUUCGGUUGCUGACAGGUGUAUAAAAUUGAGCCCACAGCCAUGCAAUCUCCAUAGACAAACAUUGGCAGUAGAAUGCCCUUCCUGAAGAGCUCAGUGACUUUCAACGUGGCACCGUCAUAGGAUGCCACCUUUCCAACAUUUAUGCCAUGCUAGAGCUCCCCCAGUCAACUGUAAGUGCUGUUAUUGUGAAGUGGAAAUGUCUAGGAGCAACAACGGCUCAGUCGCGAAGUGAUAGGCCACACAAGCUCACAGAAUGUGACCGCCGAGUGCUGAAGUGUGUAAAAAUCGUCUGUCCUCGGUUGCAACACUCACUACCGAGUUCCAAACUAACUCUGGACGCAACGUCAGCACAAUAACUGUUCAUCAGGAGCUUCAUGAAAUGGGUUUCCAUGGCUGAGCAGCCG
rnacentral:lncRNA from 13 species